GGUUGUUUGGCCGAGCGGUCUAAGGCGCCUGAUUCAAGAAGUUCGCUUCUUAACGCUGUCAACACAGUGGAACACUCAGGUAUCGUAAGAUGCAAGAGUUCGAAUCUCUUAGCAACCA
rnacentral:tRNA from 1 species